rnacentral:rRNA from 1 species
CUACGUGCCAGCAGCCGCGGUAAUACGUAGGGUGCGAGCGUUAAUCGGAAUUACUGGGCGUAAAGCGAGCGCAGACGGUUACUUAAGCAGGAUGUGAAAUCCCCGGGCUCAACCUGGGAACUGCGUUCUGAACUGGGUGACUAGAGUGUGUCAGAGGGAGGUAGAAUUCCACGUGUAGCAGUGAAAUGCGUAGAGAUGUGGAGGAAUACCGAUGGCGAAGGCAGCCUCCUGGGAUAACACUGACGUUCAUGCUCGAAAGCGUGGGUAGCAAACAGGAUUAGAUACCCUGGUAGUCCACGCCCUAAACGAUGUCAAUUAGCUGUUGGGCAACUUGAUUGCUUAGUAGCGUAGCUAACGCGUGAAAUUGACCGCCUGGGGAGUACGGUCGCAAGAUUAAAACUCAAAGGAAUUGACGGGGACCCGCACAAGCGGUGGAUGAUGUGGAUUAAUUCGAUGCAACGCGAAGAACCCUACCUGGUCUUGACAU